ensembl:lncRNA
CCCAAAUAUGCUGAGAAUUCCCCUCGCUGGCUCCCUGCCCGAGAGAACAGAAAGGCCUCUGGACGUGCCCCGAGUGCCCGGGACCACACCCCAGCGCUGCCCGCUCCACCGCCCGAGCCCGUGUCGACAGGGCACUGGGCUCCGUGCCGGGGACCAGGGCAAGCCCCCCGCCAGAGCUCCUAGGACCAGACGCCACAGAAGCUUCCAGCCUGUCUCCUUGGGCCUCUCAGCACCAAGGGGAGAGGACACUUGGUCAAGGGAACCCCCUGAGAUGCACAGGGCCCUGGGGACUUGCUGGACAGCUGCUCUCACCCUCCUACCUCCAAGGUGCAUGGCUAGGAAUCUUCCAGGAGAAGCCCUGGGUGACCCGCAGCAGCAGCCCCCAUGCCCUCCCCCUGCAGGGACGCAUGGGCAGCCUCGCUCCAAGCACCAUCCGCCAACCAGCCGCAUCAGGGCCAUGCGGGGUGGUCAGGCACGGAGGACCUCGGGCUGCUGGGGACCUCUGGGCUCUGAAGGGCAGAAGAGGCCCGCCCCGCCAUGCCUGGUUCGAGGGAGGCUGAGAUGACUCCGGGACCCUCCUGGAGGAGGCGCUCUGUGGAAUGCCGUUCCUGGGUGUAGAGACACUCCCACGCAGAAGUCAGUUGCCCGCCUGAGGGUCAUCUAGGGGAGAUGGCCUGGGGCCUGGCCUGCGCAGGUGAGCUCUAAAGGGAUUGUGCCCUGCUGAGAGGCAGAGUGGACAGGCCUGAGGACGGGUCCACGUGGCCAGGACCUGUGAGCCACCUCUGGAAGCUGAGAGCAGUCCCGGCCAACAGCUGGCAAGAUGGUAGGAGAGGCCUGGUGUGUGUGGGAAGGGGUCUGCACACACGGUCACCAGGAGGACCUGAGCAGAGCCUCCAGCUGCACUUGCUCUUCAUUGGCUUUAAAUGACCGAUUCUGGAGGUCACAGGCCGUGCAUGGCCAGCGUCCCCUUGGUUUGCUGUAGAUGACCUCUGACUUGUGGGUCAUGAUGACAGAGCUGGCUCGGUUACUGCUCAGGGACCGAGGGCUGAUUUUGCUGAGGACGCUGACUGCACUUGGGCUGCAGACGUCCCCUGGUGACUGGAGCGGGAGGCAGUCUUGGCCUCCUUCCUCCCCUUUGCUGCCUUAACCUUUGGCUCAGUUGGGCUCGGCUCUGCCUGGAGACACRUUGAACUUUUGAGAAAUGUUUUGUCCAAACUGUAACAAGAGAUUAAUGUGACCCAGACUCGCCCCCUCUCUCUCUCCCCCACUUCACGGCUCCAGACACCUGCAGCCGCCAUGACUGGAAAGGAGAGGGGAGGUGGCACCGAGCGCCCGGGAGACCCCCAGAUGGCCUGAGUGCCCCUCCCCGUGCCAGCCUGUCCCUGGGYCGCGUUAUUCCUGCUCUGCUUCUGCCACCCCUGGCCCGGAGCUGGGAAGCUGCUCAGUGAGCUCAGCCCCUCCUGCCCGUCCCUCCCCACUGAAGACGCUGUCCCCCCACAGUGGCCUCUUGGGUGGGUCUCUGGGGGGGUCUCUGGGCGGGUUCAGGGGCACUGAUAGCCAGAAGG